rfam:TPA: Bos taurus chromosome 17, whole genome shotgun sequence.
UCCCUAGUGGUCCAGUGGUUAGGACUCUGAGCUUCCACUCCAGGGGGCACAGGUUCAAUCCCUGGUGGGGGAA